CAGAUAUUAGUUUAUAUGAAAAUUUUAAUUUUGGAGAUUAAAGAUAAAUAGUUUUUAUAUCUGA
rnacentral:tRNA from 1 species